AUGAUCUCACAGGCUCAGCUCAUCUGUCUGUUAAUGCUCUGGAUCCCGGGCUCCAAUGGGCAGAUUGUGAUGACUCAGACUCCAGAAUCCCUGGCAGUGUCUCCAGGAGACACAGUCACUAUCAAUUGCAAAGCCAGUGAAGGCAUUACAGGUGCUUAUACCUACUUAGCCUGGUACCAACAGAAAUCAGGACAAGCUCCUAAACUCCUUAUCUAUGAUGCUUCCACACGUGCCACUGGGAUCCCAGACCGGUUCACAGGCAGUGGAUCUGGAACGGAUUUCACUCUCACAAUCAGCAACGUUCAAGCUGAAGAUGUUGGAGAUUAUUAUUGUCAGCAAUACCAUAGCUCACCUCUCACAGUGAUACAGACUAAUACAAAAACCUCCCAGUCCAUUCCAUUCUGUGUCACAGCUGCUUCCUUCAAACAGCCGCCUUCUCAGUGCAAAUGCUACACGUUAUUCGGGGGCAAACUUUCAGACCCAGAAACACACAUACCUGCUGUCUCAACCAUGUAA